UACGGAGGGUGCGAGCGUUGUCCGGAAUCACUGGGCGUAAAGGGCGCGUAGGUGGCGCGGGAAGUCAACGGUGAAAGUUCGGGGCUCAACCCUGAAUCGGCCGUCGAUACUCCCGGGCUCGAGCACUGUAGAGGCAGAUGGAAUUCCGGGUGUAGUGGUGAAAUGCGUAGAUAUCCGGAGGAAUACCAAAGGCGAAGGCAGUGUCCUGGCUGGCAUCUGACGCUGAGGCGCGAAAGCUAGGGGAGCGAACAGG
rnacentral:rRNA from 1 species